rnacentral:rRNA from 1 species
UACGAAGGGGGCUAGCGUUGUUCGGAAUCACUGGGCGUAAAGGGCGCGUAGGCGGCUUUGUAAGUCGGGGGUGAAAGCCUGUGGCUCAACCACAGAAUUGCCUUCGAUACUGCAUGGCUUGAGUCCGGGAGAGGUGAGUGGAACUGCGAGUGUAGAGGUGAAAUUCGUAGAUAUUCGCAAGAACACCAGUGGCGAAGGCGGCUCACUGGCCCGGUACUGACGCUGAGGUGCGAAAGCGUGGGGAGCAAACAGG